rnacentral:rRNA from 1 species
UACAGAGGUCCCAAGCGUUGUUCGGAAUCACUGGGCGUAAAGGGUGCGUAGGCGGCGCGGAAAGUCAGGGGUGAAAUCCCGGGGCUCAACUCCGGAACUGCCUUUGAUACUCCCGCGCUUGAGAACUGGAGGGGAGACCGGAAUUCACGGUGGAGCAGUGAAAUGCGUGGAUAUCGUGAGGAACACUAGUGGCGAAGGCGGGUCUCUGGACAGUAUCUGACGCUGAGGCACGAAGGCCAGGGGAGCGAGCGGG